UUGCAAAAUUUCCCAUUAGAAUUACCAAUCGCAAACUCUUAGAUGCUGGGAAAUAUUGAGCUUUUAUUUUACGCAAUGUAGUGAAAGGAAUAGAAAUUGUAUUUAACUGUAUUUUCAACUCUGUAGCCAAAGAGAAACCCAUGGGGGCUCAGCAUUUGACCCACUUACUUUUUGGUUUUGUAAUGUAUAUAAUUCUUCAGAUUCCCUCCCCCAUCAAUCAAAUAAAUAAAGUGCAAAGUUCUAUUCAGAAAAUGACUAUAAAAGUAGCAUCAUUUUACUCGGCAGAAUCUCCCCCUCCCCCCGCCCCAAAAGCCCUAUCUGCUUAAUUCAGUGAAAAAAGUAAUUGGUGGGGGGUGGCCUUUGUGUGAGUUUUUUCUCCUUGUAUUGUUUUUUGUUUUUUACUCUUAUUAGUCCUGCAGAACCAACACAACUUUGUGGGAGUGAGCUUUUACCCACGUGUGCACACUUACUCCAGAAUGAGUCCUUAUUCUGAAUUAGCUUAAUCCACUUCGGAAAUUUAUUAAGUUAAUUUGAAAUAUUAACAAACAAACAAUAAGGAAUAUAGUUCAUCCACUUCACAUUCACCCCCUGCUUUAUUCUGGAUUAAUUUUCAUGUGCGGACAAGCCCUAAAAAAACCCUGAAGCCCUGUAAGUUUGAUUUCUGCUUUGCAGAAGGAGGCAGUCAUGGGUGAAAGACCAUACUAAUCACUAGCCAGAAAGUAAGCUUGAAGCACUAUAUCUCAUGGUCCUGCCCUCAUCUUGUGAAACUUUGGCAGUGGUUCCCACUGUUGUAUUGGAGCUGGAGGCAAAUUUCUUUAAAAAAGAAAGUAUGGUGGUAAAUAUUCCGUAAGUUUUAAAAAUAAAACAAUAACGGGGUUGUUUGAAUCCAGAGGAGUUUCAUGUAUUUGAAUGUUUGGUCAAAGGGAAAGCAAUUAAAAUCAAGCUUUGAGAAUAACCAAGAUGAAUUAAUUUAAUGUUUGUAAAGCACUUUGAAGAUGUAAAGUACUCUGCAAAUGUUUAUAAAACAAAACCUUGUUAGUUUGCAGUAAUUAUUGGAGAGAAUAUUGCAAUUUACUGAAUUUUGAGAACUUAAGAGAACAAGCACAAUAAAAAUAAACAAAGCUAGGUACCAUGAAAUGUGCUUUAUUGAUUUAUUUUAACAACUGUAUUUUAGUUUAUUAUAAUAUUUCAUAAUGUCUUAGCCAAUGUUCUAAUGGAGUAAAGUACAUUUCUGUCGAGUUUUUUGUGUAAACAUAUUUUAAGUCUUUGGCUUUUGCAACCCAUUUCAGCUAUCUGUUGCUAAAUCUUUGCUGAGAAAUGGAGGUAGUAAUUUUACCAUAAAAUAUGGAUAAGUGAGGUUCUGCUGAAUUCACACAAGAAUGAAUAUGCCUUUUAUAAAUCUAAAAGAAUUUACAAGCUAGUCACAGAAAUUUGUGAUGGGGGAACUUUCUACAAAGAAAGUAUGCUUAGACAUAAGAAUAGCUUUUUGGUAGACUAUCAUAUACAUAGUACAGGUUCAAUUACUGUGGUGUAUCAGGCAUUUGGAGGACAAAGAUGAAAAUAUUAAGGAAAAUGCCAAACAAGGAGGAGACCUAUUCUGUGACGAAUACAUAUAAGAUAUAGGAGAAGAUCCUUUUUCUAGUGUGGAAGUGAGGACAUAUUUGGAGUUCUUUGGUUAUGAUUGUCAGUCUAACCCCCAAAACAGGGUAGACACAGAAGCAUGGUCUAUCCACCUCCCGUCCUACAAUAUAUUUUAAAUGUAAAAUUGUAUUGGGAACUUGUAAAGUGAUUAUACAAUUCAACCCAAACAACAUACAGAGAAAUGAAAUACAAAAGAAUCUCUAAAAGAAAAGGAGAACUUAAUCUCUAACUUAGAUAUUGCCAAAGGGCCAGACCAAUAAGUAAAACAAUGAAACCUGUAAGUUAAUGCUGUCAUAGCAGUCUUCACUUAUCCUUUUCUGCCUUGGUAGGAUUUUAUCAAGGCCUCUCAUAAUAAUCAUGAAAAAAGUCGUCAUCCAAUUUGGAAAGGU